UUCGUAGGCGGCCAUGUAGGUCAGGUGUGAAAUCCCACAGCUCAACUGUGGAACUGCGCUUGAAACCACAUGGCUUGAGGGAGAUAGAGGUGAGUGGAACAGAUGGUGGAGCGGUGAAAUGCGUUGAUAUCAUCUGGAACACCGGUGGCGAAAGCGGCUCACUGGAUCUCUUCUGACGCUGAGGAACGAAAGCUAGGGUAGCGAACG
rnacentral:rRNA from 1 species